CAUCCUUCAGUCUCAGGCCCCCGGGAGGGGGAGGGGAAAGAACCAGGGCUGAGCUGUGGAGGGAAGAGGAGCCAUUUCUCUCCACCUACUGCAACCUCCGUGCUCACAGCUCACGUUUCACCAGAAUCCAGGGGCCUGGUCGGCUUAGGAACCCACAAUGCUGGAUAUUUUCAUCCUGAUGUUCUUUGCCAUCAUAGGCCUGGUCAUUCUGUCCUACAUUAUCUAUCUGCUCUAGUGGCCUGGAGCUGCGGCCGGAGCCUGCUGGAGAACAGCUCAGGAGGAAGGAUGGAGCUGAAUGGCCGAGUGCCCUGCUUGCUGACGCACCGGUGGAUUUUUGCUUCUGCUGUUAUCUCGGCUCCUGGUCUCUCCAGUCCAACAAGAGGCCUCUCAUCCACAGAAGCAGUCCUGCUGCCCAGCAGACCUCUUUCAGAGCCUUCCAGACAUGGCUGACCCCUGGCACGCAAGGGGCUUUUUAAGCUGAGAGGCACUUGGCUGGGACAUCAGGAAUUCAUGGACAUGGCUGGCAGAUACUGCAUAUGUUUGAGCUGUAGAUGGGAUUGAGAACAGAAAGUUGAAAUGGAGACUUAUUAAAGUUACAGUGGAGAACUGCUCAAAAAUUCAUUUUGACUGGCCGGGCGCGGUGGCUCACGCUUGUAAUCCCAGCACUUUGGGAGGCCGAGGCGGGCGGAUCACGAGGUCAGGAGAUCGAGACCACGGUGAAACCCCGUCUCUACUAAAAAUACAAAAAAUUAGCCGGGCGUGGUGGCGGGCGCCUGUAGUCCCAGCUACUCGGAGAGGCUGAGGCAGGAGAAUGGCAUGAACCCGGGAGGCGGAGUUUGCAGUGAGCCGAGAUUGUGCCACUGCACUCCAGCCUGGGUGACAGAGCAAGACUCCGUUUCAAAAAAAAAAAAAAAAAAAAAAAAUUCAUUUUGAAUUAAGGAAACUUAAAUUCAUUUUAAGUUUCCUUAGAUCUAAAUGAAACUGCACGUUACACUCAAAUAUGUUCCUUCCUUCUCACACACAGGACUCCCUUGUGAAACUCAAGGGGAAGUUCAAGUUGUCCAUCUUCGUCUAUGAAGUAGUCACUUUAUCACUGUCUUUACAGAUUGCACAAUCUGGGGUUUUGUGGUUUCUCUUGUCUCACUCUCCAGCCAGGAAGAACUUGUCAUUUGAGUUUUUAAAAUGUAUCAUUUCUUCCCCACCUCAAACCACUUGUAUCCCAGUUUCUCAUUUAAAGGGAGAAAUGGUUAUAUAGUCCUCAUCUUUGCACCUGAUUGAAUUAUAAAUGAUAGAAACAAGAUGGCUAUA